rnacentral:rRNA from 1 species
UACAGAGGGGGCAAGCGUUAUUCGGAAUUAUUGGGCGUAAAGGGCUCGUAGGCGGCCAACUAAGUCAGACGUGAAAUCCCUCGGCUUAACCGGGGAACUGCGUCUGAUACUGGAUGGCUUGAGUUUGGGAGAGGGAUGCGGAAUUCCAGGUGUAGCGGUGAAAUGCGUAGAUAUCUGGAGGAACCCCGGUGGCGAAGGCGGCAUCCUGGACCAACACUGACGCUGAGUGAGCGAAAGCGUGGGGAGCAAACAGG